rnacentral:rRNA from 1 species
AUACGGAGGAUCCGAGCGUUAUCCGGAUUUAUUGGGUUUAAAGGGAGCGUAGGUGGAUUGUUAAGUCGGUUGUGAAAGUUUGCGGCUCAACCGUAAAAUUGCAGUUGAAACUGGCAGUCUUGAGUACAGUAGAGGUGGGUGGAAUUCGUGGUGUAGCGGUGAAAUGCUUAGAUAUCACGAAGAACUCCGAUUGCGAAGGCAGCUCACUAGACUGUUACUGACACUGAUGCUCGAAAGUGUGGGUAUCAAACAGGAUUAGAUACCCUGGUAGUCCACACAGUAAACGAUGAAUACUCGCUGUUUGCGAUAUACAGUAAGCGGCCAAGCGAAAGCAUUAAGUAUUCCACCUGGGGAGUACGCCGGCAACGGUGAAACUCAAAUGAAUUGGCGGGG